rnacentral:rRNA from 1 species
UACGUAGGGGGCAAGCGUUAAUCGGAAUUACUGGGCGUAAAGCGUGCGCAGGCGGUUUUGUAAGACUGCCGUGAAAUCCCCGGGCUUAACCUGGGAAUGGCGAUGGUGACUGCAAGGCUAGAGUUUGGCAGAGGGGGGUAGAAUUCCACGUGUAGCAGUGAAAUGCGUAGAUAUGUGGAGGAACACCGAUGGCGAAGGCAGCCCCCUGGGUCAACACUGACGCUCAUGCACGAAAGCGUGGGGAGCAAACAGG